rnacentral:pre_miRNA from 1 species
GAGGGGGUGGAGGAUUUCCCUCAGCCUGGAUUGUGAGAGGGCGCAGGCCAGGCUGAGGGACCCCACUGGUGCAAG